AAAAACUGGAAAGGAAUCCAAAUCCAAAUCUACCUAGAGAACGAGAGUGGAAUCUCUUCCUCUUUCAACAGUAAGGUUUCUCUGUACAUCUCCAUCUUCUAUUUUGAAUAGACAGAUUUAAUUUGGAAUGGCGAAAGUAAUGGCGGCCGAUUCAUGGCAAUGAAUAUCCAAUAGAGAAUUCAGUCAUCAAAAGAAGAAGAGAAUCGUCAUCAAAAAGUGAAAUAACCAAGUUUGGAGGACAGAUUGAGACGCGAAUGAGAUUUAGCGUUUAUAAGAAGAAGAAAAAACCCUAAAUCCUCACAAACAACGAAUUUCAGCUACACAGAGUUCUGAAUGCUCAAGAAGAAAGUGGGAGAAACAAUGCGAUAAUUGUGUCUAGAAUUCAUAAGAGUUAUUGAUGGUACGAAGAUUGUUUCCCUCAGAGAAUAUGAAAAAAUCAAGGUAAUAUCAGUUGUUAAGUUCGUACUAAUACUGCGUUGUAGGCACAAUAACUAGGUGUAUUUGUUAUUUGCAUUGUAGGUAUUGAUAUCGGACAGUUACAAGCAUGAAAAUUUCAUUUGUAUAUUUUGUUUACUGUUGCCGACAACGAUGAUAUCCAUAUUGCUUUUCAAAUUAUUAAUAGUGCUAAGGUAAGAGAGAUACAUUUAAGAUUUGUAAUAAUGUUCUUUUGUUUUGGAGAUUUUGUUGAACUCUGUUAUGAUGUUUUAAAUUAUGACUUAAGAGGUGCCGAUCUCUUUGACGGUGUUGCUGCAAAAAUAAUCAUCGCCUUGCAAAAUUGAAGGCGAGCGUUUAAUGCUUCUUUCUUUAUGUCCUGUUGAAGUUUCGCAAUGAUAUCUGAUGGCAGAAACACUAUGUAAAUUGAAUAUCAUUUGAUAUUAACACUAGCAUAGUUAACACAAACAUAGUUUCAAGGUAUACAUUCUCUUCUUUCUUAGAUAUUUAAGUGUGUACUAUCUUGUUACAAUGUUUGAUGUGUAUGCAUGAAGGAGUAAGUUCUCUAGUGAAUCUUCUUGUGAUUUUUUAGUGUACAAGUGUACUACUUCAAUUAUUUUAAAAUGAUGGUCCAGUAUUUGUGGUAGAAUUUUAGUAAUAGCUACUGAUGUGCAUGAAUUUGUACUUUCUGAUUUUUCAUAGGUUGACUUGCUUUAUUCUACUGAUCGUGCAAUUGUUGGUAGAUGAAUAGACAUUAAAUGCAUUAAUGUUGCGAUCAGCUAGGACUUGCUUUAUUCUACUGAUCGCCCACAUCAUUUUCUCCAUUCAUGACUUUUACAGUAUGGUAGCCCGGAAACUUUUAGACCUGCAGUUUAAGAAGACUAGUGUGACACAAGUCAGUGUAUAAUAAACAGUACUUAGUGAUUGGAUCCGUCUUGAGGAAUUUAAAGAACAAAGCAGAUGCGCCUGCACCACAAAAUGAUGAAAAUUAUGGAAUCCUCAUAGACGAAAUCAUCAAUAGCAAUAUAGAACAAUGUGUUAGAGAUGGAACACUUGAGAUAUUUUUCCGAUGGGAUGAUUAAAUGGCCACAACAAUACGUAUCUCCGCACUUGGAAAUUGAUCAAGUUUUUUUUCUUUUUUUCUUUUUCUUGUUUGUUGUUUUGAACAUGAAUUGAAUAUGUAGCUUUUGUUGUUGAACUUGCGGUGUCUGGGUUGUCAAGUUGUUAACUGAAUUUAAGUUCAUUUUAAUAAAAUCGGCUGAUUUAUGAGAAA